rnacentral:misc_RNA from 1 species
AAGUCGUAACAAGGUUUCCGUAGGUGAACCUGCGGAAGGAUCAUUAACACGUAUCCAAACGUUAAACCCCCCUGUGAACCUUCACCUGUACUCGUACGUCCGUUAGAAAAAGCAGCAUCCCCAAGCAGUUAGUGUCUGAAAGUGUCAUUACCUGUGUAAGGAUGACGCAGUCACGAUCGUUGGAGGCCCACACGGCCGACGACCGGGUCGCUGGGCGCAAGCCCCCCUAUAACAAACCCCCUGCCAAUCGCGGCCGCGAUAAUACGCAGUCGACCAAAAACCGAACAACUGUUAACAAUGGAUAUCUUGGUUCUC